rnacentral:rRNA from 1 species
ACGGAGGGGGCAAACGUUGUUCGGAUUUAUUGGGUGUAAAGGGUGUGUAGGCGGGCUUGUAAGUCGGAUGUGAAAUACUUUAGCUUAACUAAAGAACUGCAUUCGAAACUGCUUGUCUUGAGUUUGGGAGAGGAGAAUGGAAUUCUCGGUGUAAGGGUGAAAUCUGUAGAUAUCGAGAGGAACACCAGUGGCGAAAGCGGUUCUCUGGACCAAAACUGACGCUGAAACACGAAAGCUAGGGGAGCAAACAGGAUUAGAUACCCUGGUAGUCCUAGCCGUAAACGAUGAUCACUUGGUGUGGGGUCCUUAGGGCUCCAUGCCGAAGUUAACACAUUAAGUGAUCCACCUGGGGACUACGGCCGCAAGGUUG